UGGGGAAUCUUGGACAAUGGGCGCAAGCCUGAUCCAGCCAUGCCGCGUGGAUGAUGAAGGCCUUAGGGUUGUAAAAUCCUUUCGCCGAGGACGAUAAUGACGGUACUCGGAGAAGAAGCUCCGGCUAACUUCGUGCCAGCAGCCGCGGUAAUACGAAGGGGGCUAGCGUUGUUCGGAUUUACUGGGCGUAAAGCGCGUGUAGGCGGGUCGUUAAGUUGGGGGUGAAAUCCCGAGGCUCAACCUCGGAACUGCCUUCAAAACUGGCGACCUGGACCUAAGUAGAGGCAAGUGGAAUUGCGAGUGUAGAGGUGAAAUUCGUAGAUAUUCGCAGGAACACCAGUGGCGAAGGCGACUUGCUGGACUUAUGGUGACGCUGAGACGCGAAAGCGUGGGGAGCAAACAGGAUUAGAUACCCCUGUAGUCCCUGAGCGGGCUGGCAAGGCGCAU
rnacentral:rRNA from 1 species